UGCUGAUUUCAGUUGUUUGGACUACGGAUUUCCAAGAAGAGGAAGACUUGGUUGCUGGUUUCAGGAGAUUUAGGGCUUAAAUAGAAUGGAGGGAGAAGGACGGCGGAAGAAGGACUCGAGGGAGAAGAAUCGGUUGACUCACCCAUCGACUUCUCAUUCACACACAAAGAGAGACAGAGGAGGGGAGAGAACUGGUGCUGCGUGAGUGCUCUCCUCCAGUUUACGAUUCUGAAGUUUCUUCUCUUGGAACCGUUUGUUGUUCCUGUCACUUCUUCUGGUGUUGCUGCGGCUCCAUCGCCAUGGGAGAAAGACAAAGGAGGGGAGACAACUCAGACCCACGAUAUCGUUCAUCUUCUUCGGGUUGGAUGUUCAUCUGAGAAUCGAAAGAAUCUCAUUCCCAUGUUUGUUCGUGGGUCUGCGUGAGUGCUCUGUUGGGAUCAACAAACCUUACCAUCGGUCAUCUUCUUCCCAUAACUUGAGGUGCAUAAUGUCGGUGGAUCCUCUCCAAUUGGACAUUAUAUGAAGGAUCUCAGAAAAAAGAGCAAUGCAUGGUGAGAACAACCCACCUUCUAGGGCGUGGACAUAUUCUAGUAUGUCUAGAAAUUUGGAGGGUGAAUAUGAAUCUACUGAUAGUGGAGACGUUGGAGGGCAAGCCAUGGUUAGUAAUGUUGUAGAUGAUUCAAUAUUGUCAAUUGGAGCAUCCAUUGAUAAAGAUAUAUCAAGUACAGACAUUGUUCUAUAUGAUCAAUCCAAUCACGUUUCAGAGUUGAUCUGGA